rnacentral:lncRNA from 1 species
AUGGGGAAACUGAGGCACGGGAAUGGCACCGGGAAAUCACCGGGGAUCUGUGGGGAAACUGAGGCACGGGUCUGGCGGGGGCGGGGCCAUGAACCGGGUGGGCGGGGCAAUGAACGGGUGGGCGGGGCCAGCCCAAGCCCCGCCCCGUUUCCUGCCGGGAGGGGCCGCGGCCGGAGCGAAGGUGGGAGCGAAGUCCCGGGACCCCCCCGCACCCCAAAUCCCCCCGUGCACCCCAAAUCCGCCCUGACUCAGUUUCCUCUGGGUGCCGGCGGGUCCCCACAGCAGCGGGGGGGGUUUGGGGGGGUCCCCGCUCACCCCCCGUGCCCCCCCCCAGGUCCUGGAGUCUCCCACCAUGUGGAACCCUGGUGCAGGUACAGGGGGACACCCCAAACUGGGGGGGCUGCCUUGACCCCCCCCGGGGUCAGACCCCCUCCUCAAUUCCUCUUUCCUUCCCCCCCCAGGACAGCCGCCCCCCCCCAACCCCGCGUACCCCCCGAACCCCACGUACCCCCCCCAGGUCCCACCCCCCAACCCCGUGUACCCCCCGCCCGCGGCGCCCCCCAACCCGAUGGGGGUCCCAGGGCAGCCCCCGUACCCCGCGGGGGUCCCCCCGUACCCCCCGGGGCCGCCCCUGGCCCCCUCGGGCCCCCCCUUGGGCCCCCCCCACCCCGGGGUGCUCCCCCAGCCGGGGGUGCUCCCCUCGUUCCCCCCCGGGCUGGACAAGAAGGCGGCCAAGAAGAUGAAGAAGAGGAUGAAGAAGGCUCACAAGAGGCACAAGCGCUCUUCGUCCUCCUCCUCCUCCUCCUCCUCCAGCAGCUCCGACUGAGGCUCCUGGGACCCCCCAGCACCCCGCGGCAUCACCCGGGACCACCGGGAGCCACCCGGGACCUCGUGGGACCCCUGUGACCACCGGGACAGCCCCGGACCCCCAUCCUGUCCCCACGGCCCCCGUUCCCUGCUCCCAUGGGCGGGGGGACCGGGGUGUCCCCGCUGUCCCCCAAUAAACUCUGGGACACCCCAAUGUGUGUCUGCGUCUGCCUCGCGCCGGUGGGGGCUGGGCUUGGGGGGCACACAAACCCCAAUGCUGCUGGGGAGGGGGGGCUGCCCC